CAGUAGCCACGGUAAUACGUAGGUGGCAAGCGUUGUCCGGAAUUAUUGGGCGUAAAGGGCUCGCAGGCGGUUUCUUAAGUCUGAUGUGAAAGCCCCCGGCUCAACCGGGGAGGGUCAUUGGAAACUGGGAAACUUGAGUGCAGAAGAGGAGAGUGGAAUUCCACGUGUAGCGGUGAAAUGCGUAGAGAUGUGGAGGAACACCAGUGGCGAAGGCGACUCUCUGGUCUGUAACAGACGCCGAGGAGCGAAAGCGUGGGGAGCGAACAGGAUUAGAUACCCCCGUAGUCCCUGUCUCUUAUAC
rnacentral:rRNA from 1 species